rnacentral:sRNA from 1 species
GCCGGGCAUGGUGGUGCAUGCCUGUAAUCCCAGCAGCUUGGGAGGCUGAAGCAGGAGGAUUGCGAGUUCAAAGCCAGCCUCAGCAACUUAACAAGGCCCUAAGCAACUCAGUGAGACCCUGUCUCUA